rnacentral:rRNA from 1 species
ACGGAGGUGGCAAGCGUUGUUCGGAAUUACUGGGCGUAAAGGGCGCGUAGGCGGCUUUGCAAGUCAGAUGUGAAAGCCCCGGGCUUAACUCGGGAAUUGCAUCUGAAACUGCUUAGCUUGAGUGCAGGAUGGGGUAGUGGAAUUCCCAGUGUAGGGGUAAAAUGCGUAGAUAUCGGGAGGAACACCAGCGGCGAAGGCGGCUACCUGGACUGUCUCUGACGCUGAUGUGCGAAAGCGUGGGGAGCGAACGG